rnacentral:tRNA from 1 species
GGGGUUGUGGCUCAGUGGUAGAGCGCUUGCCUAGCACGUGUGAGGCCCUGGGUUCAAACCUCAGCACCA